rnacentral:misc_RNA from 1 species
GUCGCCACAGAACAAGCACUACGUACCGGAGAAUUACUUGUAUCGUCGUUAAAAUCGUACGAAAGAGUGUCUCUCCAUCACGGUGACGCUGUCGAGGAAAACUAUGACGGGUGUGUCUAAGGGCACGAGAUCAUCGGAUUCGUGGAGAAAAGUCUUCAUUCGGAAAGUGAGGGAAAUUGAAGUUGCUGUUAAUUGGUCAAUUUCCAUGUUGAUGGUUGGGGAAGGAUAUUAGCUGUCCUUGGGGAGAGUUGCUAGCGAGAAGCGUCGUUCGUGGAAGGAUAGAUUUCUCUUAUCUUCCCGUAGUUGGGGCAC